rnacentral:rRNA from 1 species
CCAUAGAUGUUCUGGGCCGCACGCGCGCUACACUGACGGAGCCAGCGAGUACUUCCUUGGCCGAAAGGCCCGGGUAUUCUUGUUAAACUCCGUCGUGCUGGGGAUAGAGCAUUGCAAUUAUUGCUCUCCAACGAGGAAUCCCUAGUAAGCGCAAGUCUUCACCUUGCGUUGAUUACGUCCCUGCCCUUUGUACACACCGCCCGUCGCUACUACCGAUUGAAUGGCUCACUGAGGCGUCCGGACUGGCCCACGGAGGUGGGCAACUACCACCCAGGGCCGGAAAGCUCUCCAAACUCGGUCAUUUAGAGGAAGUAUAAGUCGUAACAAGGUCUCCGUAGGUGAACCUGCGGAGA